rnacentral:rRNA from 1 species
GGAAUAUUGGACAAUGGGCGCAAGCCUGAUCCAGCCAUGCCGCGUGAGUGAUGAAGGCCUUAGGGUUGUAAAGCUCUUUUAGCGGGGACGAUAAUGACGGUACCCGCAGAAAAAGCCCCGGCUAACUUCGUGCCAGCAGCCGCGGUAAUACGAAGGGGGCUAGCGUUGCUCGGAAUCACUGGGCGUAAAGCGCACGUAGGUGGGUUCUUAAGUCAGGGGUGAAAUCCUGGAGCUCAACUCCAGAACUGCCUUUGAUACUGGGAAUCUUCGAGUCCGGGAGAGGUGGGUGGAACUGCGAGUGUAGAGGUGAAAUUCGUAGAUAUUCGCAAGAACACCAGUGGCGAAGGCGGCUCACUGGCCCGGUACUGACACUGAGGUGCGAAAGCGUGGGGAGCAAAC